rnacentral:rRNA from 1 species
AUUGAACGCUGGCGGCAGGCUUAACACAUGCAAGUCGAGCGGGGUGAUGGUGCUUGCACUAUCACUUAGCGGCGGACGGGUGAGUAAUGCUUAGGAAUCUGCCUAUUAGUGGGGGACAACAUCUCGAAAGGGAUGCUAAUACCGCAUACGUCCUACGGGAGAAAGCAGGGGAUCACUUGUGACCUUGCGCUAAUAGAUGAGCCUAAGUCGGAUUAGCUAGUUGGUGGGGUAAAGGCCUACCAAGGCGACGAUCUGUAGCGGGUCUGAGAGGAGGAUCCGCCACACUGGGACUGAGACACGGCCCAGACCCCUACGGGAGGCAGCAGUGGGGAAUAUUGGACAAUGGGGGGAACCCUGAUCCAGCCAUGCCGCGUGUGUGAAGAAGGCCUUAUGGUUGUAAAGCACUUUAAGCGAGGAGGAGGCUACUCUAGUUAAUACCUAGGGAUAGUGGACGUUACUCGCAGAAUAAGCACCGGCUAACUCUGUGCCAGCAGCCGCCGUAA